UUGUUACAUUGUCUGUCUGUAUGUGUCACUACGCCGUUUGUGUGUAAAUAUUCGUUAUUUGAAGGUAAAUCCCUCCCGUGAUUUAAUGCUAAUGUUAGCUAGCCUGAUAAUAGGGUUUUCCGUUGACUCUGAAAUGUCUAAAACGGUGUGUCUUGUAUUUAAAUAUACAAAGUGUGCAAUUCAUUUUGUUGUGUGUUUAGUUUUACAGUAAACUCCAACUGAGAUGACAAUAAAAAGCUUAAAGCACGCUCAGGGAAGGCAGAAGAACAUGCAUCACACGUUUGUUACAAGCAACACAGGGUGUGUUCAGGGUGCGUUUACAACUCCGGAACUUUCAUUUACAACCUACGCCGCGGCACAUUAAUCUUUUUUUUUUUUUUUAAUUAUAGCGUUUUUAUGAUCGUGAGAAGCCAAAAUCGAAAUCACGAUUAAAUUUUGAUUAAUUGCCCAGCCCUGCCUUCUUUAUCAGUGUGAUUGACAGGUAGAACAGAAAUUGAGAGCCAAGGGAUCAAGCAUCGAGCACGAUGGUCCAUGGGAAUGUUCCAGUAAUUGUUGGACUUCAUUAUCAUCCAGCCUGAGGAUAAUGAUGGCCACAAGCACUCAAUGGCAACGAUCGCGUCAAGUAAACUGCAAACGUCAGGCAUCGCAACAAUGUGUCCUUUUUAGAGGGGAGCGAUGGGGCUGGCCAGGGUGGGGGGCUAAAGCCUGGUCUCAGGGGAUUAGGAGGGGCACACCGUCACUGCUUGGAUGCAUUGAAAGGAGCACAAUGGCGCCUGGUAUCCAGUUUACCUGUUUGACAAAUGUGACUGGGGCAAAUGGUCUUAUCACUUGUGGAUGACACACACCAUGGAGAUGAAGAUGAAGCAUCAACACUAGAAACACUAAAAUGGCCAUCUUACAUCAGAUAUCUAAUCCCACACCCCCACUUUAACAUAGACCAGUGGUUCUCAAAUUUAAAAACAACAAGUUUAAACCACUAACGUCAUGCACAAUUUGAACAUUUUAAUUUUGUGAUUCUUUCAAGUACCACUAGAGGCAGCCCACAUACAAUUAGUGGUACGCAUACCACACUAAGAAUCACUGAUGUAGGCAAAUAAUAGGCACCUUGUAUCGGCUACAUUUCAAAAUGAAUAAGAUUAUUGAUAUUGAUUCUGAUUAUAGGACAGUAACAGUAGGACGCUGUUAUGCCCAUGUUUUUCUGUAUUGCUAACCAGGUGGGGGGCGGACUUGAGUUGGCAAUUUUAGGACUGCUUGACUAUGAAAGAUUCAACAUAACUUUGACUUUGUAUUCAUGGGACUCAACUCGAUUUAAACUUGAUCGACAUGACUUGAAAAGUCUUGUUCCUCUUUACAAAAAAUGAAGGCAAAUCAACCUUUCUUACAGAGGCCUUGACAUGACAUAGGGAAAAGUGUUAUUGUGGCCACAAUAUAGAUAUAUGCACAAAAUACUAAUUUUUUGGCCACAAAAUAUGCAUGAUGUGCACAAAAUACUGAUUUGCAGUACAUGAACAACUUGGGAUUUCUGUCUACUUGGUGGCCACAAUUGCAUAUUUUUUGUGCCCGUGUUAUACUUUUCUGCCCUUGUCAUGUCUAGAGCUUCGUACUUUCUGGCACUGAAUUAGUGAUGUAAUUAAUUAGCAUACAUCCACACCAUUUGAAAACUAUAUCAUUUAGGUUUUCACACUGACAUCUUUCCCCUUUUAUUGAAGAGAAGAAAAAUGAUUUAAUGUAUCCAACAUCAGCUCACAGUUGUGAAGCAUGACCGCUCCUCCCAGGGACUGCUUCUCAUACCCGCUAUCUAAUGUGUUUGGACCAGGGAAUGAUUACAAGCCUCACCUCCAGGAAAUAAAAAAAACUUUUGAACAACCAAUAAAGACCGUGGCGAACUUCGAUCCAGGCCUUAUAAAUCAAGCCCCGAUUGUCGAUCAAAGCGAGGCUGUGAAUCUCCCGUGACGCAUCUCACAUUCCGCGUUAAACACAUUCACAUGCUGCACUUGGUUGUUGUGUGCAUUUCCAGGACCAUGCUCCAUCUCGCUUGAUGGCGCGUCCAUCUUAAAAGUGCUCCCUCGGGAUGCGUCCAAAGCAGGAUGGAAAUGAUUCUUGGCAUAUGCUCAGAGGAAAGACGGUCACACUUGUAACACAAUUUGUGUUACAGUUUUGGCUUCUCAUGACUUGCUGAGUCAACACUUUGUCAGGAUGUUGGACAAGCUAAACCAAAAUAUGAAUGUUAGAGCUAUUGUUCUUUUAUUGCUAAAGACAAAUAAAUCAGACUGUGUUCUGUGCCUUCCCUGGUAUCUUUACGUUUAUAGUCGUAAUUGUUUUUUAAAUAUAUGGCAACACUUCAGAUAUAUUUGGGUUGGAUUUAGACUCAAAUUAUAAUCACACUUUUAUACUCUUCCAAGUGUGUUUUACACGGAAUACAGAGUAGUAAAUUGAAUUUUGAAACUCUAAUGUGCGACGCUGGGUGAGAGGUAUUUGGAGUUUACGGUUAGGGGUCGGGGGUUUAGGAUUAUCAUCUGGUAGUUACAUUUAGGACGUUUGGAUUUAGGGCACUAGGGAUAGAUGGAUCUUUUUUGGGUUCAGGGUUAAUUUCGGUUUGGGCUAAAGAGAUGAGGGUUCAGGGUUAGGGUUGGGUUAGGAUAGCCAGCUAGAUUGUUUUAGUAGCUAUCAAAAACCCACUUCACCGAGUGUAACGGAAUGGAUUACGUUCUACAUUUGAGCUUCCACUCAACUCCAAACUCCAAACUCAAAAUGACUGUAGCCAACAGCUGUACUGUUGCUGCGAAUCGAGGGUUUAGUGUCGACACUGACCUCGCCUUUGGUCUUCAAACAUGAAAGUGUUUCAUUUUGUGCAAUUUCCGCUCACCUUUCCACACAAAAAGCCUGCACUGUCACUUCAGAAUCAGCAGACGUGUCGCCUCACCACAUUACACCUCUUGUAGGCUCGUUAAUGUAAUUAAAAAAACAAACUCCUUGUGCAAACAUAUUUUUAGUAGGAAAACGAGCCAGGAAGCGCGUUUAAAUUCACAUUAAAUUCACAUUCACAUGUCAAGAGCACCAGCGGUUUUAUUUAGUUUUGUGUCGCAUUAAAGUCGCACAAGCAGAGCUGUUAUGCAGAUGUGAGCUAAUCGUAUUGUUUGUCUCACUCAUAACUUGCGCAUGAAGUAUUUGGGUGUGCUAAAGGUCCACAUCCAAUUUUUUUUCCACCAGACGUAAACACACAAAGCACUUCCGUCACAUGUUUUGGAGAAAAUAUGGAAAAUGUGUCAGUCUUUUAUAACGGCGAGCUAAACUGACUAACUGAAAGACAACAGUCUGUCAUAGUCCCAUUAGGGAUUUUGCCUUUUCCUGUGUUGGUCUUUUUUAAGUGUUUUUUUCCCCCAUGAUGUUUUUUUAGUUCCACCAGUCCUGUCAAUUUUGGUCUUCUGCUCCUUUUAUUUUGUGUUUGACCAAUCACCUUUGCUUUUGAUUCUCGCAGUCGCUAUCAGAUCUUUUGUUCAGCUUUCUAAAUAGUCUUCACUGUUCAUAUAGGAUUUUUAACAUCCUUAACUGUCAUACAUCGAAAACCUAAAAAUGCUAAAGCGGCGUAUACAUGACAAUAUUUAAUGUUGAGUUUUUACAAUGUGAGAGACCCCACACAAAUUAUCAUGGAUGUUCUUACUGCUCCUAUUGUGUGUGAUGUAGUCUAGAUAACAACAAAGUACACAAAACCCUACCUCCACCGUCAAUCACGAUACAGUAAACUCUUAAUUUAUCAUGAGGUUACAUUCCAGAAAACCCCCACAGUAAAUUAAAUCAGCGAAGCAGCCACCGAUUAUUUUAUUAUAUAAAUGUAUAACUUUCAUACUUGCAUUUUAAUGCUCUGUAAGGUUUCUUUUCUGCUAAGAACAGGAGCCCGAUCGACCUUCCGUGAGCCAUUGCUGACACUUUAAAAUCAAUUAGCCUAUAAAGCUGACUGUAUCAGAGAUGUGCAGAUCUUCUGGCACAUGUGCAGUCUGGACUUGGACGACGAGGUGCUGUCUUUCCACACCUUGCACGAGAGGCCCUUGGCGCAAUCGCAGCGCUGGAAGAUCUCCAGGCUGUGCGAGCCUUUCUUCCUCUGUUUGGUGCACACCUCGCCCAGUCGCAGUACCGGCUUGCAGAUUUUGGUCCAGAAGUGCCGGGCGCAGCAGUAGCCCUCAGAGCAGUCGGACGUACGCAAGCACGGGUCACCCUCGUGACCUGGAAGAGAAGGCGCGCAUCCAUGUCGUGGGUGUGGGAAAAAAAAAAUGGGCCUCACUUCUUCCAUCACAGCCAAGUCUUUGAAAUGUGAGGCCUCGCAAAAGACAACAGAUAUCAAAUAAACCGACGAUGAAUCAGUCCGACAAAACCCCCAGCUUUCAAAUGUCAACUUUGGCGUCCUUUAUCAGUCCAAACACGUCUGUGAACUUUGGACCACGACAUCUUUUAAAGGUCCAAUUACGGCGAAUGAGGUCGCCGCAGGAGGCCCCCUAAUAGGUCUGGGCUGGGGGCCCUGCCGGCACCCGAGGGAGCAGCAGACUGGAAAUGCCACCGGACGGCAGGCUGACUGCGGUGCUAACAAGCCGCAACACCUUUGCCCGACUUUCUCAGCUCAUUAAGGUCGCGUCACAGGCACUUCUAGGCAGAAGUGGGGUGGGCGGUGAGGACUUAAUACGCAGAUCGCAAAUAAAGCGACUGGUAAAGGCUUACACCGUGAAUGUAAGUGCCACCCACCAGUAAAAGAUUGAUUUUGUCUGAGGGGUUGAUAUAACACUGGGGAACACAAUUUUUGUUGUGUUAAGUCUGACAGCUGUUUUUAACACAUUUUUGGGUGCGGAAUCCAAAACUGAUCUCAGUUUUUUUCUAUCACGUCAAGUUUUUUAACUAUAGAUCCCUGUUUUCUUAAAAAAUAUGAAAAAUAGUGUACUUAACAUAUGUGCUUGUUUUAUAAAACUUUUCAAAUAUUGACACACAAUUAAAUAUGAAAAAACUGCAAUGUUUAUUUAACACUAUUAUGUUUUACAAAGGAUAUGGCACAAAUCCUCUUAAUUCCUACUAUGCUAGCUUUUCUGUUUGCAGAUAUUGGUUGUACUGACCAAUUGUGUCUUACUACAGCUAAUCAGUGGAAUUUUGCUGAUCUGGAGGGUAAGCUGUGGAGAAAAAAACUUGACGUGCUAGAAAAACACUGACUGCAAUUUUGGAAUCAGCAUGCCAAUUUUAGUUUUAAUCAGCAUAAAAAUCAAGCUCAACAGAUAUUUGAGUUCAAAUUGUUCCCUAAUCAUCAAAAACAACGUAGUCUUUAAUACCUAACGCAUCUAACCUAAGAUACUUCAACGAAUCUAAUGUAAAUUUUUUUUGUAAAAAGCACUUAAGCCUUCAACUGUAUAUAUUUUUGUAAAUAGCAAAGAAAAUUUGGAGAUUUCAAUGAACCAACAUGCAUAUUUCAUUAAACAUAUAAGACAAUAUAAUACCUAAUGUAGGCAUUUUUGUAAAUACUGAAGACAAUUUAGUUUAAUGAACUUACGCGCUUUUGGAGCAAUCAAGGAAAUAUUUUGUUUCAAGAAAACUAACAUACAGUACAUAUGUUUGUAAACAUCAAAGACAAUAUAAUAGCUAACAUCGAAGUUUUUUUUAAACACCAAAGCCAAUUUAGUCAAUGAACCUAACGUGAUUUGGAAGCGUCAUAUAAAAAUUUGCCGUCAACAAAACUAACAUACAGUGCAUAUCUGUAAACGACAAAGACAAAUCUUUAAUGCCCAUUCUGUUUUUGUACAUACCUAAGUUGAUUGAGAUUUCAAUGAACCUAACGUACGUUUUAGUAAUCAUCAAAGACCAUUUUGAGUCUUCGAUAAAUGUGUAUUUUCACUAGCAUUGAAGAUAGUGUUUUUUCUUCAGUGAACCAAAUGCAUGUUUUUUAAACAAAGACAAUUUUUCCUUCAGUGACACUAACGUACAUAUUUGUAAACAUCAAAACACAAUGGAGUCUUCAGUACCUGAAGUAUGUUUUGUAAACAUUAACAAUUUAGAUUCUUCAACUAACCUAAAGUACUUUUUUGUGAAAAGCAAAACAAGUUAGCCUUUAACUAAUGGAAUGUAUGUCUUUUUGUAAAUAUCAAAGACACACCAACGAUUUAGUCUUCGCUGAAGCUGACGACAUUUUAGGAAUCACCCCACAAAUAUAACCUUCCACGAAACUAACAUAAAAUAUUUUGUAAACAUUAAUUUAAAAAAUCAUUCUUCAAAGAAGGUAAUGUAAGCUCUGUGUUUUGAUAAAAAUCCAAAACAAUAUGGAGUCUUUAAUAAACCUAAUACAUAUAUUGAAAUAAACAUCAAAUGCAAUAUAGUCUUUAAUACCUAACGUAAACACUGAAGAUGAUUUAGUCGUCAAUGAACCUGACAGAAAUGUUUUAAUCAAGACAAAUUUAGUCCUCAACGAAACUGAAAUAUUUUGUAAUAAUCAAAGACGCAAGAUUCUUCAAUACCAAAUAUUAAAUAAAACAUCAAAGACAAUAUAGUCAUUAAUACCUAACAGAUUUAGUUUUUUAUAAACGCAUAAACCGAUUUUAUCGUCAAUUAAUCUUAACAUAUUUUAGUCAUCAUCAAAGACGAUUUUGAUUCUGAAAUGAAAGUAUGUUUUUGUAAGCAUUGAAGACUAUUUAGAAUCCAUUCAUCCAUCCAUUUUCUCUACUAUUUGUCCUCUUUAAGGUCAUGGGUGAGCUCGAGUCUAUCCCAGCUGACUUGAUGCGGGAGCCAGGCUACAUCCUGGACUAGUUGCCAGCCAAUCAUAUGGCAUAUAUAGACAAAAAAGCAUUCACAUGGACAAUUUAGAGUCUUCAAUGAACCUAACAUGCAUGUUUUUAGGAAUCUGCCAGUAAA